rnacentral:rRNA from 1 species
GACAGAGGCCCCGAGCGUUAGGCGGAAUCGCUGGGCUUAAAGCGUGUGUAGGCGGAUCGUUAAGUGUCUUGUGAAAUCCCACGGCUCACCCGUGGAACUGCUGGGCAUACUGGCGAUCUUGGGCCGUUCAGGGGCGACUGGAACAAGCGGUGGAGCGGUGAAAUGCGUAGAUAUCGCUUGGAACGCCGAAGGUGAAAACAGGUCGCUGGGGACGCGCCGACGCUGAGACACGAAAGCCAGGGGAGCAAACGGG